CCUACGGGGGGCAGCAGUGGGGAAUAUUGCGCAAUGGGCGAAAGCCUGACGCAGCGACGCCGCGUGCGGGAUGAAGGUCCUCGGAUCGUUAACCUCUGUCAGCAGGGAAGAACGGUCACUGUGCUAAUCAGCAGUGAAUUGACGGUACCUGCAAAGGAAGCACCGGCUAACUCCGUGCCAGCAGCCGCGGUAAUACGGAGGGUGCGAGCGUUAAUCGGUUUUACUGGGCGUAAAGCGCUCGUAGGCGGUAUGUCAAGUCAAGGGUGAAAUCCCCGCGCUCAACGUGGGAACUGCCUUUGAAACUGGCAAACUGGAGUGUGUGAGAGGAUAGUGGAAUUCCAGGUGUAGGAGUGAAAUCCGUAGAUAUCUGGAGGAACAUCAGUGGCGAAGGCGACUAUCUGGCACAUAACUGACGCUGAGGAGCGAAAGCGUGGGUAGCAAACAGGAUUAGAUACCCCAGUAGUC
rnacentral:rRNA from 1 species